GCGCCUGUAGCUCAACUGGAUAGAGCGCGGCUCUCCUAAGGCCGGCGAGAUGGUUCGAGUCCAUCCAGGCGCA
rnacentral:tRNA from 1 species